rnacentral:rRNA from 1 species
GACGAAGGGGGCUAGCGUUGUUCGGAAUUACUGGGCGUAAAGCGAGUGUAGGUGGUUGUCCAAGUUGGAUGUGAAAGCCUUGAGCUCAACUCAAGAAAUGCAUUCAGGACUGGGCGGCUAGAGGACCGGAGAGGAUAGUGGAAUUCCCAGUGUAGUGGUGAAAUACGUAGAGAUUGGGAAGAACACCAGUGGCGAAGGCGGCUAUCUGGACGGUUUCUGACACUAAGACU